rnacentral:rRNA from 1 species
ACCCGCUGAACUUAAGCAUAUCAAUAAGCGGAGGAAAAGAAACCAACAGGGAUUGCCCUAGUAACGGCGAGUGAAGCGACAACAGCUCAAAUUUGAAAUCUGGCCUUCUGGUCCGAAUUGUAAUUUGUAGAGGAUGCUUUUGGUUAGGUACCUUUCGAGUUCCUUGGAACAGGACGCCUUAGAGGGUGAGAGCCCCGUACGAUUGGAUACCGAGCCUCUGUAAAGCUCCUUCGACGAGUCGAGUAGUUUGGGAAUGCUGCUCUAAAUGGGAGGUAAAUUUCUUCUAAAGCUAAAUACCGGCCAGAGACCGAUAGCGCACAAGUAGAGUGAUCGAAAGAUGAAAAGCACUUUGAAAAGAGGGUUAAAUAGUACAUGAAAUUGUUGAAAGGGAAGGGCUUAUGACCAGACCUUUGCCUUGCGGAUCAUCCGGUGUUCUCACCGGUGCACUCCGCUUGGUUGAGGCCAGCAUCAGUUUUGGCGGCCGGAUAAAGACUUCAGAGAAUGUGACUCCUCCGGGAGUGUUAUAGCCUGCUGUGUAAUACGGUCGCUGGGACUGAGGACCGCGCUUCGGCUAGGAUGCUGGCAUAAUGGUCAUCAGCCACCCGUCUUGAAACACGGACCAAGGAG